rnacentral:tRNA from 1 species
UCCCUGGUGGCUUAGAUGGUAAAGCAUCUGCCUACAAUGCAGGAGACCCAGGUUCAAUCCCUGGGUUGGGAA